rnacentral:rRNA from 1 species
AUUGAACGCUGGCGGCAUGCCUUACACAUGCAAGUCGAACGGUAACAGGUCUUCGGAUGCUGACGAGUGGCGAACGGGUGAGUAAUACAUCGGAACGUGCCCGAGAGUGGGGGAUAACGAGGCGAAAGCUUUGCUAAUACCGCAUACGAUCUCAGGAUGAUAGCAGGGGACCGCAAGGCCUUGCGCUCACGGAGCGGCCGAUGGCAGAUUAGGUAGUUGGUGGGAUAAAAGCUUACCAAGCCGACGAUCUGUAGCUGGUCUGAGGGGACGACCAGCCACACUGGGACUGAGACACGGCCCAGACUCCUACGGGAGGCAGCAGUGGGGAAUUUUGGACAAUGGGCGCAAGCCUGAUCCAGCCAUGCCGCGUGCAGGAUGAAGGCCUUCGGGUUGUAAACUGCUUUUGUACGGAACGAAAAGACUCUGGUUAAUACCUGGGGUCCAUGACGGUACCGUAAGAAUAAGCACCGGCUAACUACGUGCCAGCCGCCGCAGUAAGAC